UGAACAACUUAGGUUCUGAAGCAGGCUUUUCUAGGUUAAAGUAGUAUGAGUUCUGUGAGGCACUGAAUAGUUUCUGAAUCCUUCAUUAAGUUUAGGCAGUUUAUGAAGUUAAGUUCACCUAAGGCCCUGCCAACAUAUCUGUUGUUACUAUUCACAUGGAAUAAAGAAUCUGAAUGUAUUUACUUUUAUAAAUAGGAAGAGGAAGAGGCAAAGAGGAAACUGGAAAUGGGAAGUUGUUGUUUUUAAUAAUAUGAGAUGUCAAACUCAAGUCACAUCAGAUAUGACUAUGAAAUGUAAUUUAAUAUGGAGACUUUUGACUCUUUUUUUUAAAGUUGCACUAAUCCAUUUUUAUUUUGUAUUUCCUUUGUAGACACCACAAUGAUCCUAAUUCUGGAUCCACCUUGCCUAAGUCAAGUGAGGAUGAUGGUGAUUUUGAUAACAAGAAUCUGCAAAGAAAUAUCCAAACUUGAAGACACCUAAUAAAAUGAAUGACCUCACUCCUAAUAAAUGCUUAGAAGUGAAAGAUGAAGGAACAUUAAACUCAGGUCCAAUGAUACUGCCGCCAUUCCAGUCUGGUUUAUGCAAGACAUUUCUAGGAGAGACUUUGACAGCAGAAUCCCUGGAGUAAAGAGAAUUUAGAGAAGAACAGGACAAAGCUUCACAUGGAAAUGCAGCACAGCAGGUCUACAGGAAAUGCACAAAGCUUGAGCCCGUUCACUGGGAGCUCUUCUGCUGGCAAUUUCGAUAGCACCCCAGGACCCAGAAUAAGUCUCCUCCAGAGAGAAAACCUGACAGCAUCUUCUUCAAACUCUCCACGAUCAACCAGGGGCCUGGAAGACUGCCUAGGAAUGGUUAGCUAUGGUUUCCGUUGUACAGUUCUGGUGCAGUUCUUAUUUUCAACUUGGAUGACUAUUAGGCUUUGCAGUUGACACCUCCUAAGUUAAGACAAGAGUGAAUCAUGAUAAAGAAGAAAAGUAGAGGGAUUAGAGAGAGGGCUCCACUGGGAAACUGUGCUACUGUGCAGUGCAAGGGCAUGAGUUCACAUCCCCUAGUGAAAUUAUUACAAAAUUUAUGUUGUUGUGAGAUACCAUACAUAUGUAUAUAUGCUCA